rnacentral:rRNA from 1 species
AAAGCUCGUAGUUGAAAUUGUGUCCUGCGGUGUCGGUCUACCGAUUGCGGUACGACAGGCACGUCUGCGGGGCUUCUCGCCGGUGCGUCCACCGCCGGCGUGCGUCGGUCGGCCUCACGGCCGGCCGCGCACCGAGGCGGGCCGUCGCGGCUGUUUACUUUGAACAAAUUAGAGUGCUCAAAGCGGGCUAACACUCGCCUGAAUAUUGUACGCAUGGAAUAAUAGAAUAGGACCUCGGUUCUGUUUUGUUGGCUUUCUGAUACCAGAGGUAAUGAUUAAUAGGGACAACUGGGGGCAUUCGUAUUGCGACGUUAGAGGUGAAAUUCUUGGAUCGUCGCAAGACGGACUAAAGCGAAAGCAUUUGCCAAAGGUGUUUUCAUUAAUCAAGAACGAAAGUUAGAGGUUCGAAGGCGAUUAGAUACCGCUGUAGUUCUAACCAUAAAUGAUGCCAGCCAGCGAUCCGCCGAAGUUUCAUAAUUUUAACCCGGUGGGCAGCUCCCGGGAAACCAAAGCUUUCGGGCUCCGGGGG